UAGAUGACCAAAUACUAAUAAUUAGUUUUAUUUAUGUACUUUCCAGUCUAGACUUGAAUAGAUUUCGAUCCGCAUCACAGGCUGACUUACAACAAGUUGUGCUUUUGUGGCUCCGAUGAACUUCUAUGUAGCUGUGUACACAUCUAAAAAAGAUUCAGUACAUGUUUUGGUGCUUAAGGGCUGCUAUGAUAAUUGAAAGAAUCCUUCUUAUUUGUGCAAACUAAUUUAAAUUAGUUCAUGGCCGCUCUAAGAGGUU